AAGAAAAAAUGAAAGCUGCUACCGACCUCUCGCUUUUACAAAGUAUUUUUCAUGUUUUUUUUUGUUGGCUCUUUAACCCAAUAGGAAAGCUGUAUAUGACCUUUUCAUUUUGUAUUGUUAACAUUCAAAUUGAUGGACUUGUUUCCUUGUUUAUGUGAAUUACAGCAUCAUCAGCUGCAGCAUCUGCCUGUUAUGUAAAACUGUGUCCCUAGUCCCAGAGCUGGAUGCUUCAGAUCUGCACUUGCUGUCCCACAAACUGGCCUAGUCUCCAUCAUGUCCACUGUGGGAUGCUGCUGCUUACCUUCCUCCAGCCCACUGCUUCCAGCUGCCCAUUUCCACCAGUCUACUCUGCAUCGCCCUUACUAUACUUGAUAUGCUCAUCUACUUACUGUUUGAAUUUUACUACCAGCUAUAUAUGUAGUAUUUUUAAUGCCAGAGUCGUACACCAUAACAGUAAACUAUGAAUCAGUUUAAAUGGUAGCUUGUACUUUGUAUGUAUCAUUUAUCUUGUCAUGCAUGUAUCCAACUGUGUGUCAUAUGUUCCUUGUUCCCCACGCCCCUCUUCUCCCAUCCCUCCUCCUUUCCACCCUUCUACCCUUCUACCUCUCUACUUCUACCCCUUUACCUCUCUACCUCUUCUGUUCCUCUCAACCCGCCCGGCCAGCAGGCAGAUGGGUACCUCCUCAUAUAGAGCAGGGUUCUGCUCAAGGAUUUUUUUCCCUGUUAAAAGGGUGUUUUCCUUGUCACUGUCACCUUAGGAUUUGCUCCGGGGAUCAGGCAUGUGGGUUCUGUAAAGCGUCUUGAGACAAUUUGACUGUAAUUGGCGCUAUAUAAAUAAAAUUGAAUUGAAUCUUCA